AGGCUUAGCACAGUGCAAAACUGCAGAGGCCGCCAUGUCAAAAGCUUCGCUCUGUGUCAAACACGAAGCUGCUACAAUAUGGGUUCGCUCCGACCAUUUGGAGUAAUCCUUCAAAAGUUCUCCCUACAUUCGAUCAUUCACAAAUCCCCCCGUUUCUUCCAUCCUCACAGUAAUGGGUUGGGUUCAUCAUCAUCAUUGGCUGCCGUAACAUCAAGUUCUCCUUCGUGGGCUUUUGAUAGUAAGCUGAAAAGUCGUGGUAAUCAAGUGCGAAGGAUAUGGAUGUCUCCGGUUUGUAUGGGCAGGCGUUCCUGCAAGAUUGCUGGCCGGAAGGGUGCUCAGGAUGCAAAGAAGGCAAAGCUUUAUGCUAAGAUUGGAAAGGAGGUUGUUUCUGCCGUUAAAAGGGGAGGAACAAGCCCCACAUCCAAUCCCCUUCUGACUGCCCUACUUGAGAAAUUUAAGGAGCUUGAUAUUCCGAAAGAAAUUUUUGAUCGCAACAUUAAGAGGGCUUCUGAGAAAGGACAAGAGGCUUACAUAGAGAAAACUUACGAGGUAUAUGGUUAUGGCGGUGCUAGUAUGGUUGUUGAGGUCUCAACAGAUAAGAUAAAUCGCUCAGUGGCAGCUGUUAGAGAAGUAUUGAAGGACUAUGGUGGAAAGAUGGCAGAUUCAGGAUCUGUUAUGUUCAAGUUCAGACGUGCUCGAGUUGUGAAUGUUAAGGCCUCUAAUGUUGACAAAGACCAGCUUCUCAACAUAUCUCUAGAUGCGGGUGCAGAAGAUGUUAUUGAACCUCCAGAAUAUGAAGAUGAUACAGAAGAAGAUAAGUCGGAAAGAUAUUACAAAAUUGUGACUUCCACGGAGAACUACUUAGGAAUACUAUCCAAGUUACGUGAAGAAAACAUAAAGUUCGAAACUGACGGUGGUUCUGAGCUACUUCCCAUAAGCUCUAUUGAGGUGGAUGAUGAAGCUAUGGACUUGAAUAAAGAACUAAUGGACAAGUUGCUUGAACUCGAUGAUGUCGAUGCAGUUUAUACUGAUCAAAAGUGAAUAUUUCUUCUUCUGUAAUAUCCAAUCAACAUGGAGAGAGGUCUAAACUGAAGAGAAACUGAUGAAUACAUGAGGAAGAAGAGGCCUACAUUUUGUACAGGUACAAACAAUCUACGUGGCUGCACCAUUAGUCGCGUCGCCACAUGUACGUAUUUCUUACCCUUAACUGUAAUAAUGUAUACAUUAUGUGUUUUCUGAUCCCAAUUAAUUUAAUAAGGUAUGCUUUAGUAUUGAAGUGAUCCUAAUUCUUGGGAACCCAGCAACCGUGUAGGCCAUAAGGAAGACCAUAAGGAAACUUUGCUCUGGCUAUCUCUUCAAAUGUUGAUCCAUCUAGUAGUAAAGCAUACCCUUCUCCAUUUUUCCCACUGACCAUAGAGAUCACCACUCCUGCACCCACGUGAACACAUUUCAGACACAUUCCCUUUCCCUUAGGAAUACGGUUUCAUACAUUAGUUAAAAGUGAAGAUCACGAGUACGAGACCUUCAAAGUGGUAUGUUCAUUUGUUUUAUUCACUUAGAGGAUGAUAUAAAAUGACUCACCAUCAUCUUCUUCGGUUGCACCCGGUCGAGCCACAAAGAAAGGCUCGGAAGGGACAGUGCCCUCCUCAUACCAAUUCUUGGCCAUCUUCUUCACCAAAUCGAUCUGAAACGAACAAAUUCAUAACAAGGAUAAAGUGAAUUUGUGGGUCGAGGAAGAAGAUAAAAAAGGCAAAGAUGAAGCAUAUAGGUCAGGGAAAAGGGCACCUUGGUAAGUGUGUUCGGGAAAUUACAGGGUCUUUCGGCUCCACAAGCAUAGGCAUAUCUAUAUUUUUUGCCUAAGUAAGCAGGAUUGAAGCUGCACAUAUCCAUUCCUCUGCCAUGUUCAUCAGGGUCCAAUGCUGCCUCCAACUCCCCAUAUCCACUCCCAUCCAGUGGUAGACUAAACGAACCUGGCAUCUGGAAGGGGAUAUUUGAGAGAAUCACGCAAAUUAUGAAGCCUAAGUCGGUCUAAGAUUACAGGAUUGGCGUUAUGUUCGCAACAAUCAGCAAUCACAGCAGUAAUCCUUCCCUUUUCAUCCCUCUCUUCAUAUGCAUUUAUGAAAUGAAAUGUAAUGAAUAAUGGCACUUCUACACUUGCCACCUGCAUCAUGCCGUUGAAAACCAUGCAUUAUUAUAAGUUUAUUAGCACAAUUAACUUCUUAUUAUAAGCUUGUGAACUGAUGUAUGUAUGUAUAUUGUUCAAAAUUAAAUAUUCCAAUGAGGUAAAAUGAGUUAGAAAUUAAGAAAAGACUUACAAUGUUUCCACUAGCUUUGCACAUGACAUGCAUAAAGGCUUUGGACUCCGGCCGCCACUCAAACUUGUACAACGGUGUAGGCUCCGCCUUCAGCAGGUUUUGAGCACAAUAUCUCAACGGCAUCUCCGGCACCACCACGUAAUUCUCCGUCACUGGAAACGAGUGGACCCAACCCGGGGCUGGCCCACCCUUGCAAUUGACUCGACCGAUCACCUUCCGCUCGUUCGAGCUUGGUUCCAUCCGAACCACCAAGUAACCUGGGUUCAAAAGAUCUGGCAACAACGUUAAAAACUCCGAGUCUGUAACAAUUGGAUGAGCCGAGUGAAUCAAACCACCAAGUGAAUCACUGUACUCAAACUUUCCCACAGUCUCUAAUGUGUCUGGAUCGAUCAUUAUAGACCCCUUUUGAGUUUCUGUAAGACAAACAACGCGACCGUCGCCAAGCUUCACAACUCCAGUGUUUGCGUUAUCAGUCAGUGAUGCACCAGAGAAAAGCUUUAUAGGCGUUCGAUUCAAUCUGACGGUGACCGGCAAUUAGUCGACCGUUAUCAAAGUGAAGCUUAACAAUCAUCGCAUAGCCAUCAAAAAGAUGCCUAAAGUCAUAAUCACCAAUAUUCCAUAAUCCAGGUCCAUUUCUCAAAUAUGUCCCACUCUGCAUGCAAAAAACAUAAGAAGAAUUAUUCAAUGUAACAAUUGAAGAUUAAGGAUGUGAACACAAUUAAUUAAGAUAAAUUAAGGUUUGAAUGA